AUAGAUCUUCUCUGUAGACUUGCACAGAAUGAUUAGUGGCGAACGGGUGAGUAACACGUGAGUAACCUGCCCCUGACUCUGGGAUAAGCCUGGGAAACUGGGUCUAAUACCGGAUAUGCACCGUGGACCGCAUGGUUCUUGGUGGAAAGAUUUUUUGGUCAGGGAUGGACUCGCGGCCUAUCAGCUUGUUGGUGAGGUAAUGGCUCACCAAGGCGACGACGGGUAGCCGGCCUGAGAGGGUGACCGGCCACACUGGGACUGAGACACGGCCCAGACUCCUACGGGAGGCAGCAGUGGGGAAUAUUGCACAAUGGGCGAAAGCCUGAUGCAGCGACGCCGCGUGAGGGAUGACGGCCUUCGGGUUGUAAACCUCUUUCAGUAGGGAAGAAGCGAAAGUGACGGUACCUGCAGAAGAAGCGCCGGCUAACUACGUGCCAGCAGCCGCGGUAAUACGUAGGGCGCAAGCGUUAUCCGGAAUUAUUGGGCGUAAAGAGCUCGUAGGCGGUUUGUCGCGUCUAUCGUGAAAGUCCGAGGCUCAACCUCGGAUCUGCGGUGGGUACGGGCAGACUAGAGUGAUGUAGGGGAGACUGGAAUUCCUGGUGUAGCGGUGAAAUGCGCAGAUAUCAGGAGGAACACCGAUGGCGAAGGCAGGUCUCUGGGCAUUAACUGACGCUGAGGAGCGAAAGCAUGGGGAGCGAACAGGAUUAGAUACCCUGGUAGUCCAUGCCGUAAACGUUGGGCACUAGGUGUGGGGGACAUUCCACGUUUUCCGCGCCGUAGCUAACGCAUUAAGUGCCCCGCCUGGGGAGUACGGCCGCAAGGCUAAAACUCAAAGGAAUUGACGGGGGCCCGCACAAGCGGCGGAGCAUGCGGAUUAAUUCGAUGCAACGCGAAGAACCUUACCAAGGCUUGACAUGUGCCAGACCGCCGUGGAAACACGGUUUCCCCUUUGGGGCUGGUUCACAGGUGGUGCAUGGUUGUCGUCAGCUCGUGUCGUGAGAUGUUGGGUUAAGUCCCGCAACGAGCGCAACCCUCGUUCCAUGUUGCCAGCGCGUAAAGGCGGGGACUCAUGGGAGACUGCCGGGGUCAACUCGGAGGAAGGUGGGGACGACGUCAAAUCAUCAUGCCCCUUAUGUCUUGGGCUUCACGCAUGCCUACAAUGGCCGGUACAAUGGGUUGCGAUACUGUGAGGUGGAGCUAAUCCCAAAAAGCCGGUCUCAGUUCGGAUUGGGGUCUGCAACUCGACCCCAUGAAGUCGGAGUCGCUAGUAAUCGCAGAUCAGCAACGCUGCGGUGAAUACGUUCCCGGGCCUUGUACACACCGCCCGUCAAGUCACGAAAGUUGGUAACACCCGAAGCCGGUGGUCUAACCCGGGAUUGGGUUGCUUACCUGUGCUUCGUCGCCGACUGAUUAAUUAGUUUAAGCUAUUUCGAUAACGGAACCCAGCUCUUUUGUGUUUGGA
rnacentral:rRNA from 1 species